UACAGAGACUGCAAGCGUUAUUCGGAUUUACUGGGCGUAAAGGGCGCGCAGGCGGCUCAUUUUGUCAGGCGUGAAAGCCCCGGGCUUAACCUGGGAACUGCGUUUGAGACGGAUGGGCUAGAGUUCGGGAGAGGAGAGUGGAAUUCCCAGUGUAGAGGUGAAAUUCGUAGAUAUUGGGAAGAACACCGGUGGCGAAGGCGGCUCUCUGGACCGAGACUGACGCUGAGGCGCGAAAGCGUGGGGAGCAAACAGG
rnacentral:rRNA from 1 species